rnacentral:piRNA from 1 species
UCAUAUGAUCUGAGAAUAUGUUU